CGCCACAAGAGGGCAGAGUUUGACCGCGAACUGCGUCUUAAAUUCAGUCAUGCGCUGUUCUGCAGUAUUAAUAAUAAUAGUGAUUACACAAAAACAGUAUAUGAUAAUUAUGCACUUAUUAUGGCGUUGCCGAUCUCAAAGCCGGUAUUAUCUGUAGAUUCAAUCGAUUUCUUUGGCAGAGUUACAGUUCAUUCAGAUAAAUUAACUUCAGGUGUGGAGCUGAGCUCUACAGGGCUGCAUUGAAACAAAAAAAUAUUAGGAGGCUUCAACAUUGUGCCAAAUUGCGUCUUUCUCAGGCCCGGCCCGUUCCAGAGCUCCGGCCGUCUGAAUGGAGGCUUGUGUUUGGCCCGGACCCGGGCCUCUCUCUCGGGAAACUUCACACGCGUCUAAAUCACGCAGGAAUUCUCAUCCAUUUACCCAGCAUCCUUAGCAAGCCUCUCACACUUGACGGUGUCGACAGACUUCUGAGAAGAAUGUGACUGAUCCACUAAACCAUCUGUUAUAAUACUUCAGCAUACACAUGCUUCUCAUAUUAACAUAUUCAGACCUCAUUAAAAUAUAUCAGCUGAAUAUAAGCUAUGACAUUUCUAUCGCUCGAGAUCAGAGAUAGACCUCACACUGUAUAUCACCAGCCUGCUAGAGGAGGAACAGGAAAAUCCAUAAGGACAGUGAGCGAAAUUCUCACUCAGCAUGACCUCCGCUGAAAUAUGCUCCCAAUUCUACUGAACAAUAAACAUCCAUGAACCUCUCAGGUGGAAAAUGACCAUCAGCCAUCAGUGAGAGCGGGUCUAAACACACAAACACAUGCAUGCUGGGCCAGCGGUGACAGCAUUACGUCGUUCCUACUGGAGAGACCACACAAGCAGAG
ensembl:lncRNA